rnacentral:rRNA from 1 species
GAUGAACGCUGGCGGCGUGCCUAAUACAUGCAAGUCGAGCGAACGGACGAGAAGCUUGCUUCUCUGAUGUUAGCGGCGGACGGGUGAGUAACUCGUGGAUAACCUACCUAUAAGACUGGGAUAACUUCGGGAAACCGGAGCUAAUACCGGAUAAUAUUUUGAACCGCAUGGUUCAAAAGUGAAAGACGGUCUUGCUGUCACUUAUAGAUGGAUCCGCGCUGCAUUAGCUAGUUGGUAAGGUCACGGCUUACCAAGGCAACGAUGCAUAGCCGACCUGAGAGGGUGAUCGGCCACACUGGAACUGAGACACGGUCCAGACUCCUACGGGAGGCAGCAGUAGGGAAUCUUCCGCAAUGGGCGAAAGCCUGACGGAGCAACGCCGCGUGAGUGAUGAAGGUCUUCGGAUCGUAAAACUCUGUUAUUAGGGAAGAACAUAUGUGUAAGUAACUGUGCACAUCUUGACGGUACCUAAUCAGAAAGCCACGGCUAACUACGUG